rnacentral:rRNA from 1 species
UCCGCAGGCGGGCAAUUAAGUCAGGGGUGAAAUGGUACGGCUCAACCGUAGCACUGCCCUUGAUACUGGUUGUCUUGAGUCAUAGUGGAGUGGCCGGAAUAUGUAGUGUAGCGGUGAAAUGCAUAGAUAUUACAUAGAACACCGAUCGCGAAGGCAGGUCACUAACUAUCGACUGACGCUGAUGGACGAAAGCGUGGGGAGCGAACAGGAUUAGAUACCCUGGUAGUCC